rnacentral:lncRNA from 1 species
UUCGGGUUUCUGGUUUAUUGAAAGUUGCUCAGGUUUCGGUUGCUUGGUUCCUUGUGGUUUUUUCUGGUUUUCUCGUUUGUUAUGGCUGAAGACGGGAAGUAAAAUUACAUUGGCUUUGACGAGGAGCGUUGCAUUUAAUAUCAUGAAAGAAACAACUGCUCGUGAUAUGUUAGAAGCUCUGUCAAAUAUGUAUGAGAAGCCGUCUGCCGGUAAUAGGGUGUUCUUGAUGAGGGAACUGUUUAAUAU